UGGGGAAUCUUGCACAAUGGGGGCAACCCUGAUGCAGCGACGCCGCGUGAGCGAUGAAGCCCUUCGGGGCGUAAAGCUCUUUCGACCGGAACGAUAAUGACGGUACCGGGAGAAGAAGCUGCGGCUAACUACGUGCCAGCAGCCGCGGUAAUACGUAGGCAGCAAGCGUUGUUCGGAGUUACUGGGCGUAAAGAGUGCGUAGGCGGUUUUCUAAGUUCGGUGUGAAAUCUCCCGGCUUAACUGGGAGGGUGCGCCGAAGACUGGGAAGCGGGAUUGUGGGAAAGGCAGGCGGAAUUCCUGGUGUAGCGGUGGAAUGCGUAGAUAUCAGGAGGAACACCGGCGGUGUAGACGGCUUGCUAGACCAUAACUGACGCUGAGGCACGAAAGCGUGGGUAGCAAACA
rnacentral:rRNA from 1 species